CCUCCACUCUCCUGCAGCUCUGCUGGCUCAGGUGUCCCUUGGCUUGCGGCUCUCCUAUGUGCAAGUGGUUUCCCCUCUCUUCCUGGGUGCCGCUUCUCCUUACAAAGACGUCGGCUGCUUGGCCAGACCAGCAGUGUCUGUCAAUAGUUCCAGGCCCAGCCUCCGAGAAGCUCAGGUCUUCUGGAGAAAGUCUCAGACAGAGGAAACAGUGGUUUUCGGCGACGGUGGUGGCAGCGGCGGCAGGCUCUCAGAGGCGCAGAAGAGUACCCAGAAGGGGAACACAAGCAAGUCUUUGUCUCCAAGGAAGCCGGUGGCCAUCAGGGUGUCUUUGAUUCUCCAGCAGCCUCUGAGACUACUGGACAAGGCAGCGAGUAGGCUCUGUGCCUCAGUUUCCUCAUCGUUAAGAUGUAUGUAACUUAUCUACCUGGAUAUCCUGAGCAUUCAUUGGCAGGGAUGUGGCUGUCAGCUCCCAUGUUUCUAUAUGUUCUUGUGUGGGGGCACAUGGGUACACAUACUUGUGUGUAGGCACACUGUGUGCACGCGGGUGCACAUAAUUGUAUGUAGGCACACUGUGUGCACGCGGGUGCACAUACUUGUGUGUAUGCACACUGUGUGCACAUGGGCACACAUACAUGUGCGUCUGUACAUGCAGGCAGCCAAGUUCCUCCUUGACGGUUUCCUGGUGGCUGCCAUGUAGCUCUGAGUUUUCCUACCUGCACCCUUCAUACUUGUGUUUCUCAGGCAUGUGGCCCCCUACUCCUUUAGCCUCCACUUCCUUGGUGGCCCUUUUCCAGGGGUCAACCUUGGGUGUCAUUCCAUAGGCACUCUCCCCCUUGUUUUUCGAGGCAGGGUCUCUCACUGAACCUGGGACUCACUGAUCAACUAGACUGGCUGGCCAGUGGAACCCAGGGGCCCUCCUCCCGUUGCUUUCCCAGUCCUGGGCUUAGGGAUAUGGGCUGAUACCUUAUGCAGCUCUCACGCAGGAGCUGGGGAUCCAGGCCAGGCCCUCAUGCUUGCAUGACCAGUGCUUUCCGGGGUUGAACUGUCCCCUCAGCCCCAGCUGCCUUUCGUGUAUAAAUUUUAGUCUCUGAUUUUACUUGGCAUGUCAAGGGCAUGGUAACUCUAGCUUUCUAGCUGGAAUCUCCUGUGAAACUCAAUGCAUGGCAGAAGAUAUGACCGACUGAGAAACCAGCCCAGACUCUGAGGACACCACAAGGAGGUCCUGGGUGCUGGUGACAUCACCAAGGACUUGAGCGUCCAGCACUAGGUUAAGACAGGCAGUCUCGGCCACCAGUCUGCCUUUGCCCGUGGGUCUCUAACCGGCAGGUACUCCUUUUAAUAAAAGAUUUAUGAAUUGGUUGUGUC